UAACGGGUGAAAAACCCGUUCGCCGUAAGCCCAAGGGUUCCUGGGUAAAGUUAAUCUUCCCAGGGUUAGUCGGAUCCUAAGGCGAGGCUGAAAAGCGUAGCUGAUGGUAAGCAGGUUAAUAUUCCUGCACCACCACGGAUAGUUUUCGUAGGAGGGACGGAGAAGGGUAGCUCAUCCCCAUAUUGGAUUAUGGGGUUCACACCCGUAGGAGGUUUCCAUAGGACCCAACAGGGACAAACGUGGGAACACUACUCCGAGAGGUCAUGAGGAGAGCGCUUUGCGCUCACGAACUGAGUGAUCCUAGGCUCCCGAGAAAAGCUCCGACGGAGUUAACUACUGUGGUGUCCGUACCGCAAACCGACUCAGGUGGGCGGGAAGAAUAUUCCAAGGCGCUUGAGAGAACCCAUCCUAAGGAACUCGGCAAAAUUCUACCGUAACUUCGGGAGAAGGUAGGCCGGCGUUUGUUAGAGACCUCGCGUCUCGAAGCGAACGUUGGUUGCAGAGAAUCGGGGGUAGCGACUGUUUACCAAAAACACAGGACUCUGCUAAGUCGGAAGACGACGUAUAGGGUCUGAUGCCUGCCCGGUGCCGGAAGGUUAAGGGGAGUUGUCAGCAGCAAUGCGAAGCAGCGAACCGAAGCCCCGGUAAACGGCGGCCGUAACCAUAACGGUCCUAAGGUAGCGAAAUUCCUUGUCGGGUAAGUUCCGACCUGCACGAAUGGCAUAACGACUUCCCCACUGUCUCGGGAUGGGACUCAGCGAAGUAGCACUAGGGGUGAAGAUACCCUUUACCCGCGGCAAGACGGAAAGACCCCAUGAACCUUUACUGUAACUUGACACUGAACUUCGGGUUUAGCUGCGUAGGAUAGGUGGGAGGCUUUGAACCGGGGUUUUCGGACUCCGGGGAGCAACGUUGAAAUACCACCCUGCUGAUUCUGGUGUUCUAACCCACGCCCGUGACCCGGGCGGGGAACAAUGUCUGGUGGGCAGUUUGACUGGGGCGGUCGCCUCCAAAACAGUAACGGAGGCGCGCGAAGGUCCCCUCAGGCUGAUUGGAAACCAGCCGUAGAGUGUAAUGGCACAAGGGGGCUUGACUGCGAGACUGACAGGUCGAGCAGGUGCGAAAGCAGGUCAUAGUGAUCCGGUGGUACCGAAUGGAAGGGCCAUCGCUCAUCGGAUAAAAGGUACUCUGGGGAUAACAGGCUGAUCACGCCCAAGAGUUCACAUCGACGGCGUGGUUUGGCACCUCGAUGUCGGCUCAUCGCAUCCUGGGGCUGAAGUAGGUCCCAAGGGUUUGGCUGUUCGCCAAUUAAAGCGGUACGCGAGCUGGGUUCAGAACGUCGUGAGACAGUUCGGUCCCUAUCUGCCGUGGGCGCAGGAUUCUUGCGAGGACCUGCCCGUAGUACGAGAGGACCCGGGUGGACGGACCGCUGGUGUUCCGGUUGUCAUGCCAAUGGCAUCGCCGGGUAGCUAUGUCCGGAACAGAUAACCGCUGAAAGCAUCUAAGCGGGAAGCUGACCUCUAGAUCAUGAAUCCCGAGCCGCAAGGCUCCUAAAGACCCCUUGUAGACGACGAGGUUGAUAGGCUGGGUGUGGAAACGCUGUGAGGCGUGGAGCUAACCAGUACUAAUCGGUCGUGCGGCUUGGCCAC
rnacentral:rRNA from 1 species